UACGGAGGGGGCUAGCGUUGUUCGGAAUUACUGGGCGUAAAGCGUACGUAGGCGGCCUUGUAAGUUAGAGGUGAAAGCCCGGGGCUCAACUCCGGAAUUGCCUUUAAGACUGCAUCGCUUGAAUCAUGGAGAGGUUAGUGGAAUUCCGAGUGUAGAGGUGAAAUUCGUAGAUAUUCGGAAGAACACCAGUGGCGAAGGCGACUCACUGGACAUGUAUUGACGCUGAGGUACGAAAGCGUGGGGAGCAAACAGG
rnacentral:rRNA from 1 species